rnacentral:ncRNA from 1 species
AAAAAUAGAAGGCGCACAGGUUGUGAACUUCUUUUCCCAGAGAAGAAGCAAUGACGGUAUCUAGGGAAUAAGCAUCGACUAACUCUGUGCCAGCAACUGUGGUAAUACAGAGGAUGC